UACGGAGGGUGCGAGCGUUGUCCGGAAUCAUUGGGCGUAAAGGGUCCGCAGGUGGCAAUGUGUGUCUGCUGUCAAAGAAUGAGGCUUAACCUCAUCAAGGCAGUGGAAACUACAUAGCUAGAGUACGGUCGGGGUAGAAGGAAUUCCUGGUGUAGCGGUGAAAUGCGUAGAGAUCAGGAAGAACACCGGUGGCGAAAGCGUUCUGCUAGACCUGUACUGACACUGAGGGACGAAAGCUAGGGGAGCGAAUGGG
rnacentral:rRNA from 1 species